GUGUCAGCCGCCGCGGUAACACGUAGGGACCGAGCGUUGUCCGGAUUCAUUGGGCGUAAAGAGCUCGUAGGCGGUCGGGUAAGUCGGGUGUGAAAUCUCCGGGCUCAACUCGGAGGGGCCACCCGAUACUGCACGACUCGAGUCCGGUAGGGGAGUGGGGAAUUCCUGGUGUAGCGGUGAAAUGCGCAGAUAUCAGGAGGAACACCGGUGGCGAAGGCGCCACUCUGGGCCGGUACUGACGCUGAGGAGCGAAAGCGUGGGUAGCAAACAGGAUUAGAAACCCGCGUAGUCC
rnacentral:rRNA from 1 species